GCGUGAGAAUCUGCCCUCAGGAGGGGGAUAACGGCUGGAAACGGCCGCUAAUACCCCAUAUGCCGCGAGGUGAAAUGAAUUUCGCCUGAGGAUGAGCUCGCGUCUGAUUAGCUAGUUGGUGGGGUAAAGGCCUACCAAGGCGACGAUCAGUAGCUGGUCUGAGAGGAUGAUCAGCCACACUGGGACUGAGACACGGCCCAGACUCCUACGGGAGGCAGCAGUGGGGAAUUCUCCGCAAUGGGCGAAAGCCUGACGGAGCAACGCCGCGUGAGGGAUGAAGGCCUCUGGGCUGUAAACCUCUUUUCUCAAGGAAGAAGAUCUGACGGUACUUGAGGAAUAAGCCACGGCUAAUUCCGUGCCAGCAGCCGCGGUAAUACGGGAGUGGCAAGCGUUAUCCGGAAUUAUUGGGCGUAAAGCGUCCGCAGGCGGCCUUGUAAGUCUGUCGUUAAAGCGUGGAGCUUAACUCCAUUUAAGCGAUGGAAACUACAAGGCUUGAGUGUG
rnacentral:rRNA from 1 species